CAACUGGCGAGAAGCAGGGACAGGCCUCAUACUCGGGUCUUUCUGGCUUCAGCACGCUUUCCUUCCACACACGUGUACUGGCACCCACUAAAUGCUGAGCUCUGCUCAACGCUCGGAAGAAGCAGGCCCUGCCUUAUCAUGCGCACACUCUAGGGGAAAACAAGUAACAGCGAGUAAACAAAGGAACAGACGACAUCAGGGUAAAGUGAUGGAGAGAUUGCGGUGAGGCCACCAGCCUCCAUAAGGAGACAGGCCUUGGUGAAGUCGCUGUGCCUCGGUUCUCAGUGAGUUGUCUUCAGGCUUUGGAGCCACAGGCCGUGUCUUCUUACUUGAGCCCUGGUGCUCCCUUAAAAGGCCGCCCUCCUUCCCCUGGCUUCCAGAGGCAGAGGCAGAGGCAGAGGCAGAGGCAGAGGCGGGCUGCAGGCGGCAUCCUACACCUGGAGCUGCUGGUGGCCGUGGGCCCCGAUGUCUUCCAGGCUCACCAGGAGGACACAGAGCGCUACGUGCUCACCAACCUCAACAUCGGGGCAGAACUGCUUCGGGACCCGUCCCUGGGGGCUCAGUUUCGGGUGCACCUGGUGAAGAUGGUCAUUCUGACAGAGCCUGAGGGUGCUCCAAAUAUCACAGCCAACCUCACCUCGUCCCUGCUGAGCGUCUGUGGGUGGAGCCGGACCAUCAACCCUGAGGACGACACGGAUCCUGGCCAUGCUGACCUGGUCCUCUAUAUCACUAGGUUUGACCUGGAGUUGCCUGAUGGUAACCGGCAGGUGCGGGGCGUCACCCAGCUGGGCGGUGCCUGCUCCCCAACCUGGAGCUGCCUCAUUACCGAGGACACUGGCUUCGACCUGGGAGUCACCAUCGCCCAUGAGAUUGGGCACAGGAUAUGUGCCAGGCCCUCUCCUGCCACACAGACCCGCUGGACCAAAGCAGCUGCAGCCGCCUCCUCAUUCCUCUCCUGGAUGGGACAGAAUGUGGCGUGGAGAAGAAUAUGUCACAUUUCUGACAGUUACCCCCAACCUGACCAGUGUCUACAUUGCCAACCACAGGCCUCUCUUCACACACUUGGCGGUGAGGAUCGGAGGGCGCUAUGUCGUGGCUGGGAAGAUGAGCAUCUCCCCUAACACCACCUACCCCUCCCUCCUGGAGGAUGGUCGUGUCGAGUAUAGAGUGGCCCUCACCGAGGACCGGCUGCCCCACCUGGAGGAGAUCCGCAUCUGGGGACCCCUGCAGGAAGAUGCUGACAUCCAGGUGGGAGGUGUCAGAGCCCAGCUCAUGCACAUCAGCUGGUGGAGCAGGCCUGGCCUUGGAGAACGAGACCUGUGUGCCAGGGGCAGAUGGCUUGGAGGCUCCAGUGACUGAGGGGCCUGGCUCCGUAGAUGAGAAGCUGCUUGCCCCUGAGCCCUGUGUCGGGAUGUCAUGCCCUCCAGGCUGGGGCCAUCUGGAUGCCACCUCUGCAGGGGAGAAGGCUCCCUCCCCAUGGGGCAGCAUCAGGAUGGGGGCUCAAGCCGCACACAUGUGGACCCCUGCGGCGGGGUCGUGCUCCGUCUCCUGCGGGCGAGGUCUGAUGGAGCUGCGUUUCCUGUGCAUGGACUCUGCCCUCAGGGUGCCUGUCCAGGAAGAGCUGUGUGGCCUGGCAAGCAAGCCUGGGAGCCGGCGGGAGGUCUGCCAGGCUGUCCCGUGCCCUGCUCGGUGGCGGUACAAGCUGGCGGCCUGCAGCGUGAGCUGUGGGGGAGGGGUCGUGCGGAGGAUCCUGUAUUGUGCCCGGGCCCAUGGGGAGGAUGAUGGUGAGGAGAUCCUGUUGGACACCCAGUGCCAGGGGCUGCCUCGCCCGGAAGCCCAGGAGGCCUGCAGCCUGGAGCCCUGCCCUCCUAGGUGGAAAGUCAUGUCCCUUGGCCCAUGUUCGGCCAGCUGUGGCCUUGGCACUGCUAGACGCUCGGUGGCCUGUGUGCAGCUCGACCAAGGCCAGGACGUGGAGGUGGAUGAGGCGGCCUGUGUGGCGCUGGUGCGGCCCCAGGCCAGUGUCCCCUGUCUCAUUGCUGACUGCACCUACCGCUGGCAUGUUGGCACCUGGAUGGAGUGCUCUGUUUCCUGUGGGGAUGGCAUCCAGCGCCGGCGUGACACCUGCCUCGGACCCCAGGUCCAGGCGCCUGUGCCGGCUGAUUUCUGCCAGCACUUGCCCAAGCCGGUGACUGUGCGUGGCUGCUGGGCUGGGCCCUGUGUGGGACAGGGUGCCUGUGGCAGGCAGCACCUUGAGCCAACAGGAACCAUUGACAUGCGAGGCCCAGGGCAGGCAGACUGUGCAGUGGCCAUUGGGCGGCCCCUCGGGGAGGUGGUGACCCUCCGCGUCCUUGAGAGUUCUCUCAACUGCAGUGCGGGGGACAUGUUGCUGCUCUGGGGCCGGCUCACCUGGAGGAAAAUGUGCAGGAAGCUGUUGGACAUGACUUUCAGCUCCAAGACCAACACGCUGGUGGUGAGGCAGCGCUGCGGGCGGCCAGGAGGCGGGGUGCUGCUGCGGUAUGGGAGCCAGCUUGCUCCUGAAACCUUCUACAGAGAUCCGGGACACCCACAGCUUGAGGACCACAGCGUUCCAUGGGCAGCAGGUGCUCUACUGGGAGUCAGAGAGCAGCCAGGCUGAGAUGGAGUUCAGCGAGGGCUUCCUGAAGGCUCAGGCCAGCCUGCGGGGCCAGUACUGGACCCUCCAAUCAUGGGUACCGGAGGUGCAGGACCCUCAGUCCUGGAAGGGAAAGGAAGGAACCUGAGGGUCAUUGAACAUUUGUUCCGUGUCUGGCCAGCCCUGGAGGGUUGACCUCUGGUCUCAGUGCUUUCCAAUUCGAACUUUUUCCAAUCUUAGGUAUCUACUUUAGAGUCUUCUCCAAUGUCCAAAAGGCUAGGGGGUUGGAGGUGGGGACUCUGGAAAAGCAGCCCCCAUUUCCUCGGGUACCAAUAAAUAAAACAUGCAGGCUGA
rnacentral:sRNA from 1 species